UACGAAGGGUGCAAGCGUUAAUCGGAAUUACUGGGCGUAAAGGGUGCGUAGGCGGUUCGUUAAGUCUGUCGUGAAAUCCCCGGGCUCAACCUGGGAAUGGCAAUGGAUACUGGCUGGCUAGAGUGUGUCAGAGGAUGGUGGAAUUCCCGGUGUAGCGGUGGAAUGCGUAGGGAUCGGGAAGAACAUCGGUGGCGAAGGCGGCCUGCUGGGCUGUUGCUGACGCUGAGGCGCGACAGCGUGGGGAGCAAACAGG
rnacentral:rRNA from 1 species